rnacentral:pre_miRNA from 1 species
GUAGCCGUAUUUACAUCAAUCCACAUGUGUUGAGGUGGAUUGGAGUGGAACUUGAACUAAAUUUCAUCCCAAUCCACACCAACACACAUGGAUUGAAGUAAAUACAACA